GGCUUAGUGUAGAACUGGCUACACAAAUUUUAAAUUCCCUCAUUAAAGGAAUAGCUUAUCAUAGAUUAUGUGGCAUUAAUCAUAGUUUCUGAAUUUAGUAAUGGUAAAAAGGGACAAAGUGGGACAAUUGAUAGAAGCAACCUACAAAAUUUAUGAAAGUCAGAUACACAUUUAUCAAAGGAGGCUACAUGUUCUAUUCAAGCUGCAUUUAAUUAGAAGAGGUCAGAUAAUCUUGAACAUUUAACAAUACUUUAAAAGACAAAAUGACAUUAAACAAUGAUAAAAAUACCUCAUUUCUCUAGUUAUUCACACAAUAUUUUUAUGAAUGUGGAAGAAAAGAUUCAGGAAAGUUAAGUAAUUUUUCUUAGUCUAAUACAAUUAGCAUUCAGAAAAAUAUGUGUUAUGUCUGGUUGUAAAGACACUAGAUGAUAAUCACACUCCUCCAAAGCUGGUUAUAUAUACAUGGCUGCUCCUACUAAAUUAUUACAGAUAGUUCUCUUAUUCCAAGAUUAGAGUUUGUUAAUCUGACAUUGUCAAAUGCAAAUUACAAAUGUGUUCUUGGCAUCUUGGCAUUUUAGGAUCUUGGGCAAGGGAUGGCAAGUAGAAAUGUUUUCUUUUUUUGGAGACAGAGUCUCACUCUGUCAUCCAAGCUGGAGUGCAGUGGUGCAAUCUUGGCUCACUGCAACCUCCACCUCCUGGGUUCAAGUGAUUCUGCCUCAGCUUCCCAAGUAGCUGGGACUACAGGUGCACGCCGCCCUGUUUGGCUAACUUUGAUAGUUUUAGUAAACACAGGGUUUCGCCAUGUUGGCCAGGCUGGUCUCGAACUCCUGGCCUCAAGUGAUCUGCCUGUCUCAGCCUCCCAAGGUGCUGGGAUUACAGGCAUAAGCCACCCCACUGGGCCUUUUCUAUUUGAGACAGGGUUUUGCUCUGUCAUGCAGGUUGGAGUGCAAUGAGUGGUGCGAUCACAGUUCAUUGCAACCUCUGCCUCCUGGUUUCAAGUGAUGUUCCCACCUCAGCCUCCUGAGUAGUUGGGACUACAGGGACGUGGACAUGUGGUUUCACUGUGUUGUCCAGGCUGGUCUCAAACUCCUGAGCUCAAGUGAUCCACUGGCCUCGGCCUCGCAAAGUGUUGGUAUUACAGGAGUGAGCCACCAAGCCCAGCCGAAAACGUUUUCCCUUUUUGUUUUCAGGGUUUUUAAGUGAUUUCUUCCUUUUUGUAGCCAUUUUGAUGAUUUUUGGUUAUUUCCAAUUGCAAAUGUUUGAUUUAAAUUGAACUCACAAUUGCCUACUAACAGUAAGAUUUUUAAAUACAAGAUCUUUAUUAUUUCACUUUACUUGACAACAUGGAAUCAGAGGGCUUUUUGGUCCCAUCAAACCUUUGGAUAAGUUACAAUUUGAGGGGAUUUUCUAACUAUAAAACAAGGGCUUUCAACAAUCCCUUCCAAAGUUGAGCAAAAUUAACCUUACUCUUCAAAUGACUAGGCAUUUAAUGCUCUCAAAUUUUAGAAAGGAUUACUAUCAAAGACUGGAAAUGUCCCUUUUCUACCAGACUUUCAAGGCUCUUAGAGUCACUGUUCAUUCAGUCCAGUCUCCUUAACCAUCCAGGUCUAUUUCUUAAGUUCCUGUAAUCAUGUGAUGCCUGAGACCAGAUCCUGAAUUUCAAAAAUAAGAAAACAGAAUUGUUUAUGAAAGGUAUUCAACCAAGGUUUUCUGGCUGUACUUUAGCUAAUUAGAAUACCUCAUGUAUGAAUAUUCCAGGUUUUUUUUGAAAUACUUUGUUAAAUUCAAAAUACUUGGGGGAUAGAUGGAAAUAUAUGUGGCAAAGCAGGUGUAAUUAACUGCUAACUGUAGAAUCUAGGUAGUGGGUAUAUGGAUGUUCCACUUUAAAAUUCAGCUACAUUUAACAUUUUUUUAUACUGAAGAUUUUUAUAAUAAAGUGUUAAAGAAAAUAGAGUUAGGGAAAAUUAAGGCUGCUUUACUGGUUCACUCCAACAUUAUAUAUAAUUUGAAUAUUUGCUUUUUUUUUUUUUUUUUUACUAAUAAUUCUAAAAGCUCACUUAUAUGUAGCAUACAGCACAAAUAAGCUGAUCUUAUGAGGUUGUAAACUUUGAACCUUCUGAAUGUUUUCCUCUGCAUUUUCAAGUAGGUUGGCUAGUUGGUUAUAACAUCUAAAAAAACAGAACUCUAGUUAAUGACAGAAACACCAAGGCCAUUGUAAAUAAGAGCUGAAAGAUUAGAGAAACAAUAACAUAUUUAAGCACUGGCUUAUUUAGGAAAUGUGACAGAUAACAUUUAAUGUUAAUGUUAUCUGUUAUGUUAAUGUUAACAUUAACAUAAAUGUUAAUACUUGAAGAAUAAUUAGAGAAGGAUAAAGAGGUAAAUUGGGAUUAUAAAGAUUCUGAAAAGGGCUUGGUUUGGUGCUCACGCCUGUAAUCCCAGCACUUUGGGAGGCCGAGGCAGUAGGAUCACUUGAGGCCAGGCAUUUGAGACCUGGCAACGUAGUGAGACUAUUUCUACAAAGAUUCUGAAAGGGAUUUAUAACUGUCCGUGGUUUGAGAAGAGAGUUAAAGAAAUGAAAGUGGAAUAACAAACUGCAAGCAGCAAAAGGAAAUGUGUUUAUGAAGAAUGUCGCCAGGUACGGUGGCGCGUGCCUGUAGUCCCAACUACUUGGGAAGCUGCGGCAGGAGGAUGGCUUGAGUCCAAGAGUUCUGGGCUGUACUGUGCUAUGCCAGUUGGGGGUCCACACUAAGUUCAGCAUCAGUAUGGUGACCUCCCAGGAAGGGGGACCACCAGAUUUACUAAUGAGGGGUGAACUGGCCCAGAUUGGAAACAAGCAGGUCAAAACUCCUGCGCUGAUCAGUAGUGGGAUCAUGCCUGCGAAUAGCCACUGCACUCCAGUCUGGGCAACAUAACAAGACCCUGUCUCUUAAAAAAGAAAAAAAAAAAAGAUGCAUGUCCCCAGAAAAGAAAGGGGCUGACUGAGGGCUACUUAGCACUGAAGUGACUAGGGAGUAGAGUGUAAGGCAGUGUGCAACUCUUAACAUUUCACUGUUUCCUGCCUUUUAAAGCCUUUAAUGCUGAGUUAACACCAGUGGAGUAAAUGAGAUGCUAAAAGCAUUGUAUGAAAUUAUUCCUUAAGUGAUGUAGUUCCACUUUCUAUGAUAGACACUGAAACUACAAUCUUUUGGUCAAAAUAAAGGGUGGACAAGGUGUGGUCACAAAAGCCCAAAUGAGUAUCAGUUACAUUUGACCACUGAUAGGCAGCUCAGAGCUUUGUAUAUAAAGGACUAUUUGUACUUUAGAAUAUAAAAUUUUCAUCCAUGUUUUUAAGAAGAUUAUAAUGGAGCAUAUAUAGAAACCUGAUACAUGGCACUUAAUGUGGUACUGCAGAUCAAGUCCCAGAAACAUCGCCAUUACUGGUAUUCAGUAAUGGUGCUGGGACAUUUGAAUUUCUAUAUGAAAAAAUAUAUGUAAAUAAAAAUAUACAUACCAUUCUAGAUUUGUGUAAGUACACUCUAUGUUUGCACAACAGAAUCGCCUAACAAUGUGUUUCUCAGAAUGUAUCCUGUCAUUAAAUGAUCUAUGACUAUAUCCAUUAAAAACUGUAAUGGGCCGGGCACGGUGGCUCACGCCUGUAAUCCCAGCACUUUGGGAGGCCGAGGCGGGUGGAUCACGAGGUCAGCAGAUCGAGACCAUCCUAGCUAACACAGUGAAACCCCGUCUCUACUAAAAAUAGAAAAAAUUA
rnacentral:lncRNA from 1 species